UUUUUUUUUUUUUUAAUAUUUUGUAUUUACCUUUAACAGCGUAUAUUUUACACAUAUUAUCCUUUAGAAAUAUAUUUACAAGAAUUAAUCUUCUUGUUUAUCUAAGCAAAGUAUUCCAACGUUCUUUAAGGGCCUCGUGUGCCUUUUUACAAGGAACAGCCUGCAGUCUGAUUUCUCCAUCAAUGGAUGUUUCUAUAACAAGGCCCAGCCUAAUCAAAGUGCUUACCGCUUUGUCAACUGGCAUUUGAACCUUUACUUUUAACACAUCAUACAUAAAUCUCUCGCAUUCAUCACCAACACUUUUGUGACAAUUAACCUGGCCAUUCUUCACUUUAAGCAAGAUUGCAUAGGUUAAAAUAGCUUCCUUGUAUUGCUGCUGUUCAGAAGCAUCCAGAAGAAAAUGAACAGACCCAAAGCCACUUGCCAGUGUUUUCUCAUAAAGUGUCCUGUUAACAAGUAGUUGAUAUCGAUCCCACGUCUGUUUGUAACCCAAAGCCACACGGGUCACAUAAAUUAUCAGUGCAGUGAUGGCAACGACAUCAAGAAAUAUUGCUGAUCUGCAACGCAGAGAAAAAAGCAAUAUGCUUCUCUAUGCAACUUCAAAGCAUUAAAUGAUUUCAAGAACUAGUCCAAAUCCAAAAGGGGGAAAAAGACAUGAUUGGUUUUUAGAAUUCUGAUAUAGUACAGGACUUCGGGGACUGGAAAAUAAUGAUAAAACUUGUAUUCCUUUCCUCUGAAUUGCAUCAUGGACUCAACAUUUUAGAUAUAAUUACCAUCUUUUAUAUGCACAAUAGUUUGUGAAAUGGGCUGAUAUUUCAAAAGUUCUGGUAUAAACACUUAGAAGAUUCAUACGGGGAAGAUAAGAUGUCUUCAAAUUUGUAAUUGAUGAAGUAUGCCGAAAGUCCCAAUAUUGUGGCCACAUCCAAGCGUACCUACAGAUUUCAUAAUGUCAAGAAGGUAAUAUCAAAAAAAAUUAAUACAACUACUACUGGUUGCAGCUUUAAACAUUAAGCCUUCAUAAGUACUCACAAUGCUUCUAUACAUAACAUUUCAAAGAUUUAACAAAUAGGUAUGUAACUUGUACAUACUGUAUCUAUGAUUCGGAAAGAGAGCUUUUUGUGAGGAAAAAUGACCUGCAAAAUAAUUUGCUAAUAUUUUGAGAGUUCAUAUGAGAAAGCUUUGAAUCAUCACAAACACAAGACAAGCAUAAGAGUGUAUCAACAGACAUUUCAGUGUUAGAAGUAUUUACUGGUAGUUCCGGGAUAGGAAUUCUCUCAUAGAUCUUUAAUUGCAAUGAUGGAACUUCAGCUUUAUCCUUAAUGUCACUUUCGGUCACUUCCUUGGUAUAGAGCAAAAUCAGUUCUUGGAAUGCAGGUUCCUGAUAAGGAAAGACGAUGAUCAAGAACAAUGCAUAUAUGAUCUCAUUAAGAAUAUUUUACAAACAUAAUAAAUUUGCCAAUAUUGCUUAAUAUGUUCAAAUGGUGCCUAAACAUUUGUAUGGGCAAAAGAAAGUAAAACUUGUACAUCCAUACCGAUCAAUAUAUAUUUACAGAACUAUUACACAAUAAAAGAAAUUGAAAAAGGUAUUCAAGGAUUUUUUGUACAAGGGAUACCUCAAGGACUGUCCAUGAUAGAAGAAUGGAAAAGGAAGUUUUUAACAUUUGCCAAAGAUCAUUUCCACAGUAUUUUCUUGAAGCAGGUCUCCAUAUAUCACUAAGUGAUAUCCUUGAUAAGAAAAUUGGCCUUAAAUGAGGCUCAGAAGUACUAUUGUCACUGUCAAGUUCAAAUGGUGUUGCUGGUAUAGGAGGUACAAGGCCAAUCCAAGUGAGCAACUUCCUGAGUAGCCUUCCUCUGGGUCCAACUGGAGACAGAAAUCCUUCAUAACGACUUACUGCCCUCUGUGCUGCAAGCCAAAUAGGAACAUCACUAUCUGAUAUUUGGUCUACUUCCAGAGGAUUAUCAGAGGCUUGUCCAUCAUUAGAAUAUGAAUUCUUAAAAAGUGAUAGUUCCUCAAGCCAAAAGGUCACACUCUUGAACCAAUCUUGUGCUUCUUGGGUCUGAGAAGCAUUAGUGAUAGCCUCUUUUAUCCAUUUGCCAACUUUCUCCAGUGGUUUUGAUACAAUGAAGAAUAGUCUUUUCAGAAGUAUGGACUGUAUAUAGUCCAGUUUUUCAACAAUUAGCAGACCUUUCUGUCUCUCAGUUGCAUAACCUCUCCUGAAUAUUAUAGCAUUGGAUUCAGAUGCUUUCUUCCAGUCCACAUAUAUUGGCAAAGUAAGAAGGUAAUCCGAGUUCAAGGCAGAUGUCAACAUCAAAUCCCGAGCCGAUAGUUCUUGAAACUGAGCAUUAUCAAGAAGCUGCAUGAAAGCACGCUGGAAACGAGUGGCAACAGCAAGUCUGGAUUCCCCGUUAGAACAUCUCUCGUCAAUUUUCGCUGAAGAACCCAAAAGAUUCCUCAAGUCCAGACCAUAAUUGAAAUUUAAUUGCAUGUCAAUUUCAGGCUCCUCCCCAGAGUCCCCAAUGCUUCCAAUUCCAUUGAUGCUAUCGCUGACAGAGUCGGAAUUGUCCCCAUUAACUCCAGAUUUUCCAUCUGCAUUGGCCAACCCAUUAUCAUUCGUCUCCUCAUUUUUUACGGAAUGACUGAGGAAAUAAUCAGUUCGCAUUUCUUCUAAAAUGCGUUUGUGCUCAGCGUGAAGAAUAGAAUCCAAGCGCGAAGAGAGAAGGAGAAAUUCAUUGGCAUCAUCUUGAGACUCAAAUAACUUCAGUAUAAUGGCAUCCAAGAUCUCUGCCUUGGAAACUGGGAUGUAUUUUUGCCUCGCCACUCGUAUUUUAGAAAUUCCCUUCUCAUCCUCUUCCUCCUGUUCUUCUUCUUCUUGUAAUUGCUCUGGUCCUUCGCUUGGAACUCGAUCGUUCUUAUUACUCUGCAUCAAUGUAAAAACCUCGCUCAUAUCAAGCUGCGAUUCUAGAGGCUCCUCCAUGGACAAUUCCUGGACUCUCAGAGAGCAUCGAGGAAUUCUGUGUGUAGAAUCCGUCUUUAACACCAAACGGUAAGAGAACAGAGAGCGAGCUGCCGAUGAAUGCGUAGAGGAUGAUAAAGCAGUGGCGCCGGUGAAAUUUUGCAGAGAUAACAUGAAUCAUGAAGCAGUAUGGAAAACCUAAAGCUCGAGU
rnacentral:misc_RNA from 1 species